UAGUUAACAUAGUGUCCACAGUCUCGGCGA
rnacentral:piRNA from 1 species